CCCUUGUGGUCGGUGUCCAGGUGGUGCAUGGCGGUGGUCAGUUCGUGUCGUGAGAUGUUGGGUUAAUUCCCGCAACGAGCGCAACCCUUGUCCCGUGUUGCCACCAGGCCCUUGUGGUGCUGGGGACUCACGGGAGACCGCCGGGGUCAACUCGGAGGAAGGUGGGGACGACGUCAAGUCAUCAUGCCCCUUAUGUCUUGGGCUGCACACGUGCUACAAUGGCCGGUACAAUGAGCUGCGAUACCGCGAGGUGGAGCGAAUCUCAAAAAGCCGGUCUCAGUUCGGAUUGGGGUCUGCAACUCGACCCCAUGAAGUAGGAGUCGCUAGUAAUCGCAGAUCAGCAUUGCUGCGGUGAAUACGUUCCCGGGCCUUGUACACACCGCCCGUCACGUCACGAAAGUCGGUAACACCCGAAGCCGGUGGCCCAACCCCUUGUGGGAGGGAG
rnacentral:rRNA from 1 species